rnacentral:misc_RNA from 1 species
AAGUCGUAACAAGGUUUCCGUAGGUGAACCUGCGGAAGGAUCAUUACACUCAGUAGUUUACUACUGUAAAAGGGGCUGUUAGUCUGUAUAGCGCAAGCUGAUGAGCAGCUGGCCUCUUUUAUCCACCCUUGUCUUUUGCGUACCCACGUUUCCUCGGCAGGCUUGCCUGCCGGUUGGACAAAUUUAUAACCUUUUUAAUUUUCAAUCAGCGUCUGAAAAACUUAAUAAUUACAACUUUCAACAACGGAUCUCUAGGCUCUU